CAGUAGCCGCGGUAAUACAGAGGAUGCAAGCGUUAUCCGGAAUGAUUGGGCGUAAAGCGUCUGUAGGUGGCUUUUCAAGUCCGCCGUCAAAUCCCAGGGCUCAACCCUGGACAGGCGGCGGAAACUACCAAGAUGGAGUACGGUAGGGGCAGAGGGAAUUUCCGGUGGAGCGGUGAAAUGCGUUGAGAUCGGAAGGAACACCAACGGUGAAAGCACUCUGCUGGGCCGACACUGACACUGAGAGACGAAAGUUAGGGGAGAAAAUGGGAUUAGAUACCCGGGUAGUCCCUGUCUCUUAUAC
rnacentral:rRNA from 1 species